rnacentral:rRNA from 1 species
GUGGGGAAUCUUCCGCAAUGGGCGAAAGCCUGACGGAGCAACGCCGCGUGAGUGACGAAGGCCUUCGGGUUGUAAAACUCUGUCUUCAGGGAAGAAACAAAUGACGGUACCUGAGGAGGAAGCCACGGCUAACUACGUGCCAGCAGCCGCGGUAAUACGUAGGUGGCAAGCGUUGUCCGGAAUUACUGGGCGUAAAGAGCGCGUAGGCGGGAAUUUAAGUCAGGAGUGAAAACUGCCGGCUCAACCGGCAGCCUGCAUCUGAAACUGAAUUUCUUGAGGGUAUGAGAGGAAAGCGGAAUUCCCAGUGUAGCGGUGAAAUGCGUAGAUAUUGUGGAGGAACACCAGUGGCGAAGGCGGACUUUCAUG